rnacentral:rRNA from 1 species
UUAUAAGAGACAGCAGUAGCCACGGUAAAACGUAGGGUGCGAGCGUUAAUCGGAAUUACUGGGCGUAAAGCGUGCGCAGGCGGUUUUGUAAGACAGAGGUGAAAUCCCCGGGCUCAACCUGGGAACUGCCUUUGUGACUGCAAGGCUAGAGUACGGCAGAGGGGGAUGGAAUUCCGCGUGUAGCAGUGAAAUGCGUAGAUAUGCGGAGGAACACCGAUGGCGAAGGCAAUCCCCUGGGCCUGUACUGACGCUCAUGCACGAAAGCGUGGGGAGCAAACAGGAUUAGAUACCCCCGUAGUCCCUGUCUCUUAUAC